rnacentral:rRNA from 1 species
CCUACGGCGUGCAGCAGUGGGGAAUAUUGGACAAUGGGCGAAAGCCUGAUCCAGCCAUGCCGCGUGUGUGAAGAAGGCCUUCGGGUUGUAAAGCACUUUCAGUGGGGAAGAAAGCCUUGGGGCUAAUACCCUCGAGGAAGGACAUCACCCACAGAAGAAGCACCGGCUAACUCCGUGCCAGCAGCCGCGGUAAUACGGAGGGUGCGAGCGUUAAUCGGAAUUACUGGGCGUAAAGCGCGCGUAGGCGGUCUGAUAAGCCGGUUGUGAAAGCCCCGGGCUCAACCUGGGAACGGCAUCCGGAACUGUCAGGCUAGAGUGCAGGAGAGGAAGGUAGAAUUCCCGGUGUAGCGGUGAAAUGCGUAGAGAUCGGGAGGAAUACCAGUGGCGAAGGCGGCCUUCUGGACUGACACUGACGCUGAGGUGCGAAAGCGUGGGUAGCAAACAGGAUUAGAUACCCGGUAGUC